rnacentral:rRNA from 1 species
ACAUAGCGACUAUCGUGGCAUAUCAAUAAGCGGAGGAAAAGAAACUAACUAAGGAUUCCCUCAGUAACGGCGAGUGAAGCGGGAAGAGCUCAAAUUUGAAAUCUUCAAGGUUUUACCUUGACGAAUUGUAGUUUAAAGAAGUGUUUUCUGUUGGUAGUUUUGGUAAAAGUUCUUUGGAAUAGGACAUCAUAGAGGGUGAGAAUCCCGUAUUUGACCAUUAUUUCAGCUGUGUGAUACACUUUCAAAGAGUCGGAUUGUUUGGGAAUGCAGUCCAAAAUGGGUGGUAAAUUUCAUCUAAAGCUAAAUAUUGGCGAGAGACCGAUAGCGAACAAGUACCGUGAGGGAAAGAUGAAAAGAACUUUGAAAAGAGAGUUAAACAGUACGUGAAAUUGUCAAAAGGGAAGCGUUUGACACCAGUGUUGUUUAGUUGAAAAUCAAUUAAAUAUUUUUCGAUUUUAAGUAGUAUUGACCUUAUCAGCUUGCUGCUUUUUUCUCGGAAAUUAUUUAAUGCACUUUUCAGUUAACAAGUCAACAUCAAUUUCUUUUGUUGUAAAAAGGUAAGAGGAAGGUGGCUUGCGCUUCGGCUCAAGUGUUUAUAGCCUUUUACCCCUGCAAUCGGAGAGAUUGAGGUCUGCAGCGUAGAUCCUUCGGGGUUAGAUACAUUUGUGCUAAGCUAUAGCCUUGUAUAGACAACUUGUUGACUAUGCUCAGUCAUGUAGCUUACUCGCUUAUGCUAUUUUACCUACGCUUAGGAUGUUGAUAUGCAUGACUGAUAU